AUUGAACGCUGGCGGCAUGCUUUACACAUGCAAGUCGAACGGCAGCAUGGGUGCUUGCACCUGAUGGCGAGUGGCGAACGGGUGAGUAAUGUAUCGGAACAUGUCCGGAAGUGGGGGAUAACGUAGCGAAAGUUACGCUAAUACCGCAUAAGCCCUGAGGGGGAAAGGUGGGGAUCGCAAGACCUAUCGCUUUCGGAGUGGCCGAUAUCAGAUUAGCUUGUUGGUGAGGUUAAGGCUCACCAAGGCGACGAUCUGUAGCGGGUCUGAGAGGACGACCAGCCACGCGGGGACUGAGACACGGCCCAGACUCCUACGGGAGGCAGCAGUGGGGAAUUUUGGACAAUGGGGGCAACCCUGAUCCAGCCAUGCCGCGUGAGUGAAGAAGGCCUUCGGGUUGUAAAGCUCUUUCAGAUGGAAAGAAAUCGCUAUUCCUAAUACGAGUGGUGGAUGACGGUACCGUCAGAAGAAGCACCGGCUAACUACGUGCCAGCAGCCGCAGUAAAAC
rnacentral:rRNA from 1 species